GACGAACGCUGGCGGCGUGCUUAACACAUGCAAGUCGAACGGAAAGGCCCUGCUUGCAGGGUACUCGAGUGGCGAACGGGUGAGUAACACGUGGGUGAUCUGCCCUGCACUUCGGGAUAAGCCUGGGAAACUGGGUCUAAUACCGGAUAGGAGCCAUUUUUAGUGUGAUGGUUGGAAAGUUUUUUCGGUGUAGGAUGAGCUCGCGGCCUAUCAGCUUGUUGGUGGGGUAAUGGCCUACCAAGGCGGCGACGGGUAGCCGGCCUGAGAGGGUGGACGGCCACAGUGGGACUGAGAUACGGCCCAGACUCCUACGGGUGGCAGCAGUGGGGAAUAUUGCACGAUGGGCGCAAGCCUGAUGCAGCGACGCCGCGUGGGGGAUGACGGCCUUCGGGUUGUAAACUCCUUUCGCUAGGGACGAAGCUUUUUGUGACGGUACCUAGAUAAGAAGCACCGGCUAACUACGUG
rnacentral:rRNA from 1 species